GACGAACCGUGCGACCGUUAUUCGGAAUCACUGGGCUUAAAGGGUGCGUAGGCGGGUUGCCAAGUCUGUGGUGAAAUCCUUCAGCUUAACUGGAGAACUGCCGUGGAUACUGGCGACCUCGAGGGGUGUAGGGGCUUGCGGAACUGUGCGUGGAGCGGUGAAAUGCGUUGAUAUGCACAGGAACUCCGGUGGCGAAAGCGGCGAGCUGGACACCUUCUGACGCUGAGGCACGAAAGCUAGGGGAGCGAACGGG
rnacentral:rRNA from 1 species